rnacentral:rRNA from 1 species
CCUACGGGAGGUAGCAGUGGGGAAUUUUGGACUAUGGGCGCAGCCUGAUCCAGCCAUGCCGCGUGAGUGAAGAAGGCCUUCGGGUUGUAAAGCUCUUUCGGCCGGGAAGAAAUCGCAUUGGUUAAUACCUGGUGUGGAUGACGGUACCGGAAUAAGAAGCACCGGCUAACUACGUGCCAGCAGCCGCGGUAAUACGUAGGGUGCGAGCGUUAAUCGGAAUUACUGGGCGUAAAGCGUGCGCAGGCGGUUUUGUAAGACAGGCGUGAAAUCCCCGGGCUCAACCUGGGAACUGCGCUUGUGACUGCAAGGCUAGAGUACGGCAGAGGGGGGUGGAAUUCCACGUGUAGCAGUGAAAUGCGUAGAGAUGUGGAGGAACACCAAUGGCGAAGGCAGCCCCCUGGGUCGAUACUGACGCUCAUGCACGAAAGCGUGGGUAGCAAACAGGAUUAGAUACCCUGGUAGUCCACGCCCUAAACGAUGUCAACUAGGUGUUGGGAGGGUAAAACCUUUUAGUACCGGAGCUAACGCGUGAAGUUGACCGCCUGGGGAGUACGGCCGCAAGGUUAAAACUCAAAGGAAUUGACGGGGGCCCGCACAAGCGGUGGAUUAUGUGGAUUAAUUCGAAGCUAAGCGAAAAACCUUACCGAGACUUGACAUCUCUGGAAAGACUUAGAGAUAGGUCCGUGCCCGAAAGGGAACCAGAUGACAGGUGCUGCAUGGCUGCCGUCAGCUCGUGUUGUGAAAUGUUCGGUUAAGUCCGUCAACGAGCGCAACCCUCAUCGUAUGUUGUAUUUUUCAUGCGAGACUGCCUUGGUUAACAAGGAGGAAGGUGGGGAUGACGUCAAGUCAGCAUGGCUCUUACGUCUCGGGCUACACACGCGUUACAAUGGCUGGUACAAUGGGUCGCCCAACCCGCAAGGGGGAGCCAAUCCCACCAAAACCAGUCCCAGUUCGGAUUGGAGGCUGCAACUACGCCUCCAUGAAGUCGGAAUCGCUAGUAAACGUGAAUCAGCACGUCACG